GAUGAACGCUAGCGGGAGGCUUAAUACAUGCAAGUCGAGGGAGAAGCUAUUUUCGGAUGGUGGAAACCGGCGCACGGGUGAGUAACGCGUACACUACCUACCUUAUACUGGGGAAUAGCCUUUGGAAACGGAGAGUAAUACCCCAUAGUCCCCGACCUAGUCGGGGUAAAGCUCCGGCGGUAUGAGAUGGGUGUGCGUCCCAUUAGCUAGUUGGUAGGGUAACGGCCUACCAAGGCGACGAUGGGUAGGGGGCGUGAGAGCGUGAUCCCCCACACGGGUACUGAGACACGGACCCGACUCCUACGGGAGGCAGCAGUAAGGAAUAUUGGACAAUGGGCGAAAGCCUGAUCCAGCCAUCCCGCGUGCAGGAUGACAGCCCUAUGGGUCGUAAACUGCUUUUGCCAGGGAAGAAACCCCCGGAUUUACUCCGGGGCUGACGGUACCUGGCGAAUAAGCACCGGCUAACUCCGUG
rnacentral:rRNA from 1 species